UCACAACUGCAAUAAUGGGGGACGGGAACAGGAACGGGACUGCGACACCUGUUGCUUCGGUCACACGAAUUGAAUCCUUCAGCGCUUCGCAUCGCUUGCACAGCCCAUGCCUUUCGGAUGCUGAAAACGCUGCCAUUUUUGGCAAAUGCAACAACCCAAAUGGCCAUGGUCACAACUAUAAAUUGGAAGUCACAGUCACUGGCCCUGUAGAUAAAGCCACAGGAAUGGUAAUCAACAUCACAGACCUCAAGAAAUACAUACAGAGCGAAGUGAUGGAUGCUCUUGAUCACAAGAAUUUGGACAAAGAUGUGCCGUAUUUUCAGAAAGCAGUCAGCACAACUGAAAAUGUAGCAGUAUUUGUGUGGCGGCGGCUGCAUAAGGUGCUGCCCGAGGAGCUGCAGCUUCGUGUGCGGUUGCACGAGACAGACAAGAACGUAGUCACAUACGAAGGACUGUGAAGCUGUUAGCACACUCGUGUUGUACUGCAGACGUUUGUUGGCAUGGCUUUGAUAGAAAGAAGCAGUUUAAUAAAUUGCUAAUUACAUGCAUUAUUAAGCAUUG
rnacentral:misc_RNA from 1 species